rnacentral:tRNA from 1 species
GCAGUCGUGGCCGAGCGGUUAAGGCGAUGGACAAGAAUUCCAAUGGGGUCUCCCCGCACAGGUUCAAAUCCUGUCGACUGCG